rnacentral:rRNA from 1 species
GACGUAGGAGGCGAGCGUUGUCCGGAUUCAUUGGGCGUAAAGAGCACGCAGGCGGUUUGGCAAGUCGGACGUGAAAAUCCGGGGCUCAACCCCGGACCUGCAUCCGAAACUGCCCGACUAGAGGUAGGUAGGGGAGAUCGGAAUUCCUGGUGUAGCGGUGAAAUGCGCAGAUAUUAGGAGGAACACCGGUGGCGAAGGCGGAUCUCUGGGCCUUACCUGACGCUCAGGUGCGAAAGCUAGGGGAGCGAACAGG